rnacentral:rRNA from 1 species
GAUGAACGCUGGCGGCGUGCCUAAUACAUGCAAGUCGAGCGAACAGACGAGGAUCUUGCUCCUCUGACGUUAGCGGCGGACGGGUGAGUAACACGUGGAUAACCUACCUAUAAUACUGGUAUCACUUCGGAAAACCGGAUCUAAUACCAUAUAACAUCUUGAACCGCAUUGUUCGAUAGUAAGAGACGGUGUUUCUGUCACUUGUAGAUGGAUCCGCGCCUCAUUGGCUAGUUGGUAAUGUAGCGGCUUACCAAGGCAACGAUGGCUAGCCGGCCUGAGAGGGUGACCGGCCACAUUGGGACUGAGAGACGGCCCAGACGCCUACGGGAGGCAGCGGGGGGGAAUAUGGCACAAUGGGCGGAAGCCUGAUGCAGCAACGCCGCGUGCGGGAUGACGGCCUUCGGGUUGUAAACCGCUUUCGCCUGUGACGAGGCGUGAGUGACGGUAAUGGGUAAAGAAGCACCGGCUAACUACGUG